UACGAAGGGGGCUAGCGUUGCUCGGAAUCACUGGGCGUAAAGGGUGCGUAGGCGGGUUUUUAAGUCAGGGGGGAAAUCCUGGAGCUCAACUCCAGAACUGCCUUUGAUACUGAAGAUCUUGAGUCCGGGACAGGUGAGUGGAACUGCGAGUGUAGAGGUGAAAUUCGUAGAUAUUCGCAAGAACACCAGUGGCGAAGGCGGCUCACUGGCCCGGUACUGACGCUGAGGCACGAAAGCGUGGGGAGCAAACAGG
rnacentral:rRNA from 1 species